rnacentral:lncRNA from 1 species
CUGGUAUUUAAUGAUAUUUCAUCAAUUAAAAAUGUGACAACAUAGGUGUUUCCUUUAACAAUCAAUUUAUAAAUUUUUAUUUUACCAUUUUUUUUUUUUGCAUGCCGAAUCGAUGUGCACGCAACUGCGUGUUAGCGUAUAGGGAGCUACGCGCCUGUAGAUUAGCUUUUGUUCAAUUGUAUCAUAAAAGCCAUUUUUAUAUGGCCUAAAAAAAUUUUGGUUCAUAUAAUGCUAUGAUGUCGUAGUCGUUCAAAGACACAUUUGGUUUCCGUGCAAUAACUUUAGUUUAAGUGAAUGGAUCUCUAUGAAUUUUUUUAAGAAGGUUCAAUACCACAAAAGAAAGGUUGGGAUUUAUUUUGGGGAUGAUGGUCUUAACGGUUUAGAAAUUAGGGGCCUAAAAGGUGCCCAAAACAAGCAUUUUUCUAGUUUCAGGAUAAUUACUUGUGUUUAAGUGUAUGGAUCUCUCUAAAAUUGUACUACAAGAUUCCAUACUACAAAGGAAAGGGUGGGAUUAAGUCUGGGGGUAAUUGUACGAAGGGGGGAAGGAUUUAUUUUUUCUUUUUUUCUAAGGAGUUCAUAUUUUUUUCAAAAUUUUUCAAAUUUCACAAACAAAUUUUUUAAAAGUUUCAAGAAGAAAUCUUCAAUUGCACAGUAUUGUGCAAUAGAUUCGUAAGAUCCUUGACCACUUUUAUUUUGUGUUAGAAAC